CUCUGGAAGGUCCUUGCCACAGAAGAGCAUGUUCUUGUUAUUGGCAAAGCUGUCACCAUUUAAUUGGUAUCAGAUUCUGACUUAAAUUAGUAAUGUUC
rnacentral:snoRNA from 1 species